rnacentral:rRNA from 1 species
GCUACACAUGCAGUCGACGAGAAGUUCCUUCGGGAAUGAGUAAAGUGGCGCACGGGUGAGUAACACGUGAAUAAUCUGCCUUCGAGACUGGGAUAACUUGACGAAAGUUAAGCUAAUACCGGAUAAGACCACGCUUCAUAAGGAGUGCGGCAAAAGGGAUCUCAAAUCCUGCUUGAAGAUGAGUUCGCGUACCAUUAGCUUGUUGGUGAGAUAACAGCUCACCAAGGCGACGAUGGUUAGCCGGCCUGAGAGGGUGAUCGGCCACACUGGAACUGAGACACGGUCCAGACUCCUACGGGAGGCAGCAGUGGGGAAUCUUGCGCAAUGGGCGAAAGCCUGACGCAGCAACGCCGCGUGAGCGAUGAAGGCCUUCGGGUCGUAAAGCUCUGUCAAGUGGGAAGAACACAAUGACGGUACCACUAGAGGAAGCCCCGGCUAACUUCGUGCCAGCAGCCGCGGUAAUACGAAGGGGGCAAGCGUUGUUCGGAAUUACUGGACGUAAAGCGUACGUAGGCUGUUUAUCAAGUCAAAUGUGAAAGCCCUGGGCUCAACCUGGGAACUGCAUAUGAAACUAGUAAACUAGAGUAUGGUAGAGGAUGGUGGAAUUCCAGGUGUAGCGGUGAAAUGCGUAGAGAUCUGGAGGAACAUCAGUGGCGAAGGCGGCCAUCUGGACCAAUACUGACGCUGAGGUACGAAAGCGUGGGUAGCAAACAGGAUUAGAUACCCUGGUAGUCCACGCCGUAAACGAUGUCAACUAGCCGUUGGAUCCAUAUAAUGUUUGCUACACAUGCUAACG